GAGCGGAACCAAAACAAGCCACAAGAAGAAGAAGACACUCACAGGCCGGCCACGCUGCUCUGCCUCAUUCCCUGGCCACUACUUAUCUGUGUCCAUUGCCUACGUGAGUAAAGGAAGCGCCAAACAUGAAGCUGAGCCCAGACGCCAAGCAGAGGCUGCAGACAGUGCUAAACAUCGGGCAAGACUGUCUUCCACUGGGGGUUCCUGCCUCUUGUGCUGUAUCUGGGAUUCCAGCAGGGGAGUGACCCAGGCUCUCCAGAAAUUGCCCUUGGGAACAUCAUCUGGUAAUUGAUCAGGAAGGCGCCACACAGCAUGACAGCCUGCACCUCCUCAAUACAGCAGGCUUCAACACACAGCACAGCACAGCAGGGACUUACGGGGAGGAACAGAAUGGCAGGACAGCUUGAGAAGAUGGGAAAAUGAGAAGAGAUGGAGAACAAGGAAGAAAUAAUGACUGACUGACUGACUGACUGACUGACUGACUGACUGGUUAACUGACUGGCUAAAGGGGUGACUUACUGACUUAAUGGCUAGUUAAGUGAUUGACUGACUGGCUAUGUGAGGGAGUGAGUGACUGGCUGGCUGGAUGACUGGUUAACUGACUGUGUACAAUGCUUGACCAAGUGACAGACUGACUGACUCAUCAAUACAUUCCCUUUCACAAAUCAAAUCAAUGUUGAAAUUCUAUAAAGGAAUUGAAGCAUAAUUGUAAUACACACACACACACACACACACACACACACACACACACACACACACACACACACACACACACACACACACACACACGUCACAACCCUCUCAAAAAGCUACUGUCAUGUGAAUUGCAGCCACAGACUCCGCAGCGCUGUGCAGGUCAUACACCAAAGACUUCAAGACUCUGGUGAGGAGGAGCAAAACCCAAAACAAAUAAAAAAAAAUACAACUUA